UACAUGGAGAAAUAGUGGAAUGAAAUUCUUUCGUUUUCCUACAUCCAAAUAUAGGCAGGAUCAAAGAAAAAAAUGGAUUAGUGCUAUUCAAAGACAAAAAAAAUAAAGGCCAUAAAAUUUGGAAAAGAACAAAGAAGAGUCCAAAUCAUUGGUUAAUGAUAUGUUUCAUAGGGACUAUAUCAUAUAUUUUAAUGAAAGAAAAAAAUGAGUACUGAACACAAAGCACGAUUAUUACAACCAAAUUCAAGGCAACUUAUAAUUAAUAAAAAGGAAGGUGUGCCACCUAGUGAUCUGGAUGCCUUCAGAAUCGAUCAUAUAUGAUGUCGGUAUUGAAGAAUGCUGGGAACACAAUAUAAAAUUAUUAAAAACAUUUUAUUUGAAUAAAUAAGUAUAUACCAUUUUUAUGUGGAAAUAAAGCACUUUAAAAUUA